rnacentral:rRNA from 1 species
AGAGUUUGAUCCUGGCUCAGAAUCAACGCUGGCGGCGUGCCUAACACAUGCAAGUCGCACGAGAAAGUGGAGCAAUCCAUGAGUAAAGUGGCGCACGGGUGAGUAACACGUGAAUAAUCUACCUCCGAGUGGGGAAUAACCUAGGGAAACCUGGGCUAAUACCGCAUAACACUUACGAGUCAAAGCAGCAAUGCGCUUGGAGAGGAGUUCGCGGCAGAUUAGCUAGUUGGUGAGGUAAUGGCUCACCAAGGCGAUGAUCUGUAUCCGGCCUGAGAGGGCGCACGGACACACUGGAACUGAAACACGGUCCAGACUCCUACGGGAGGCAGCAGUGGGGAAUUUUGCGCAAUGGGGGAAACCCUGACGCAGCAACGCCGCGUGGAGGAUGAAAUCCCUUGGGAUGUAAACUCCUUUCGAUCGGGACGAUUAUGACGGUACCGGAAGAAGAAGCCCCGGCUAACUUCGUGCCAGCAGCCGCGGUAAUACGAGGGGGGCGAGCGUUGUUCGGAAUUAUUGGGCGUAAAGGGUGCGUAGGCGGUUUGAUAAGUCUGAUGUGAAAUCUAUGGGCUCAACCCAUAGUCUGCAUUAGAAACUGUCGGGCUUGAGUAUGGGAGAGGUGAGUGGAAUUUCCGGUGUAGCGGUGAAAUGCGUAGAUAUCGGAAGGAACACCUGUGGCGAAAGCGGCUCACUGGACCAUUACUGACGCUGAUGCACGAAAGCUAGGGGAGCAAACAGGAUUAGAUACCCCCGUAGUCC